CCUACGGGGGGCAGCAGUGGGGAAUAUUGCACAAUGGGCGCAAGCCUGAUGCAGCCAUGCCGCGUGUGUGAAGAAGGCCUUCGGGUUGUAAAGCACUUUCAGCGGGGAGGAAGGCGUUAAGGUUAAUAACCUUGUCGAUUGACGUUACCCGCAGAAGAAGCACCGGCUAACUCCGUGCCAGCAGCCGCGGUAAUACGGAGGGUGCAAGCGUUAAUCGGAAUUACUGGGCGUAAAGCGCACGCAGGCGGUCUGUCAAGUCGGAUGUGAAAUCCCCGGGCUCAACCUGGGAACUGCAUUCGAAACUGGCAGGCUAGAGUCUUGUAGAGGGGGGUAGAAUGCCAGGUGUAGCGGUGAAAUGCGUAGAGAUCUGGAGGAAUACCGGUGGCGAAGGCGGCCCCCUGGACAAAGACUGACGCUCAGGUGCGAAAGCGUGGGGAGCAAACAGGAUUAGAUACCCCAGUAGUC
rnacentral:rRNA from 1 species